UCCUGAUGAUUCCUAGAUGACGAGUCUUAUCCGAUUUAUCGAUGCAGACAAACACUCUUUUUACCAUUCAUGCAAUACCUGAAC
rfam:Stachybotrys chartarum IBT 40288 unplaced genomic scaffold scaffold1093, whole genome shotgun sequence.